GUUAAAAUUGUUUUAAAAUACUAAUUUUAUCCAGUGUUUCGGUUGUUGCAAGUAAAGUAAAGUUCUUAUUGAAUUCCUAUGCCAUAAGAUAGAGAACUGACUGUAAGAUGCCACCAAAAGAUGGUUGCUCUAAAAAGAUGGUGUUUGGAGAAAUUCAUGUUUUCCACGCAACCAAAAGUUUUUGGGGCUAAGCUGAGGCAGGGCAAGAUGAAGCGGAAUACAGCUACCAACUGACCAGCAACUAGCCUGUCUCGUACCAAGACCGUUAGUGCGCGAUGAGGAAUCACAUCCUUCUAAAGGUCACAGAAAGGACUCAAUUCAGUAGGUGACCAAAGAACCAGAUGAAAUGCCGAAAUAAAAUUAGGGACCCGCGGGAGCGAAUGCUAAGCCCCAAGAGGGAAAGCCCUGAAGAGUAAGGAAAAAAUGCCAGUUAGGUCUCGGGAGGACCAUCUGGACAGACCAGCACAUGGCAAAGAGAUACUGGGGAGAGGAGCUAGCAAAAAACCCCACACGGGAGAGACGCCCAGCCUCAAUCCACUGAACUCUGCUAAUUUCUCUGGAGCAGCAGUUAAGAAGCAAAUAAAGGAAGGAGAGAACGCCACGAGCGGGUCUACCAACCUAACGGCUCUCAAAGAAGUGCUUCCCACUAAUUCGGACAUCGCCUUGACCGAAUCGGAUGAAGGAACCUUUCCAAGAGAAGAUAUGAGACGGCUGGUACCCACCAAAGACACCAUAAGUGGAUUGGGGAUGCCAGACGACCCGGUGGAAGAAAUCAGCGCCAGCUCAGAUGCUGAAAGUGAAAUGCUCUUGGUAUCUGAAUACGUUGGUGCGGUUUUCACCCGCUGGGUAGCUAUGAUGGAGGACCAGCUUUUAGACUUUGACACCGAAGGGGAGGGUAUCGACGCCAUAGUCAUAACCUUCCCCGAGGCAGAGAGGAUCGAACCCAUGGACCUAUCAGCUUUUCAGGAUGGUGCAGACACUUCAGCUGCUGCUGCACGACUUAAAGGCAGACUCAGCUGCCCUAAUUCUGCGCAUCUGCGAAAAAGCAGAGGACAUAAACGUGGUUCAUGGGGAGUUGAAAAAGGAUUUGCGGACUAACGUCUGAUACCCACGAAAUGGUGUCCUCACCAGGAAAAGCGACGCAGACACAGUCAGCAUCGAAAUAAAACUGGGGGAGAAGCGCCACUUAUUGUCAAGAAUUGAUGAAGCGGUGACAUCUCGCACAAGGUCUGUUUCUUUCGGUCAUUGUCGAAAAUUGAUGAAGCAGUAGACUUUGUUACUAGAGUCUGCAAUGAGGCUUUUGAGGCCUAAUGGUAGAAUAAUAAAAACUCUGAGCUAAGGAAGUGAAGCCAAAAGAACAGGCUUAUGGCAUUCUUAUAAAGCAUGCAUAACAGGUUGAGAAAAGCUCUACUAACAUCUUGUGAAGAAGUGCUGGAUAUCCUCAUGAGCAUUCAUUCUCCGGGAUGUUCCAUCGUGUACGACCUCAUCCCACGCACGGAAGGACCAGAUGAUAUCCACCCCUAUGAAAUACAGACGGCCGAGAACAUGUUAUCCCCACUUCUAUUCAAAGUUUACAAGAAAGGAUAUAUCCCAAGGCGUGGACCAGGGUCAAGGUAGUUUUUAUCCUAAAAGGAAGAAGAGCCAACCACGUCCGUCCUAAGGACUUUUGGUUCAUUAGCCUUACCUCCUUCCUCUUGAAAAUUUUUGAAAGGCAGCUUGACAGCUACAUACGCCUGAAUCUACCCCCAGGGAGCCUCUCG